rnacentral:rRNA from 1 species
AUAUCUGAGCGUACUUUUAAAUAAGUCAAAACUUUCAACAACGGAUCUCUUGGUUCUGGCAUCGAUGAAGAACGCAGCGAAAUGCGAUAAGUAAUGUGAAUUGCAGAAUUCAGUGAAUCAUCGAAUCUUUGAACGCACAUUGCGCCCAUUAGUACUCUAGUGGGCAUGCCUGUUCGAGCGUCAUUACGACCCUUAAGCCUAGCUUAGUAUUGGGAACCUACGUGCGGCAGCUACCCUGUAGCUACCCUGUAGCUCCUUAAAGACAACGGCGGAGACGUGGAGUCCUCUGAGCUUAGUAAACUUUUUCUAGCUUCUGAAGGCGCCGCGGCCCCUGCCGUAAAACCCCCCAACUCUUUAGUGGUUGACCUCGGAUCAGGUAGGAAUACCCGCUGAACUUAAGCAUAUCAAUAAGCGGAGGAAAAGAAACCAACAGGGAUUGCCUUAGUAACGGCGAGUGAAGCGGCAACAGCUCAAAUUUGAAAGCUGGCCUUCGGGUCCGCGUUGUAAUUUGUAGAGGAUGCUUUUGGUUAGGUGCCUUACGAGUUCCCUGGAACGGGACGCCUUAGAGGGUGAGAGCCCCGUACGUUUGGUUACCGAGCCUCUGUAAAGCUCCUUCGACGAGUCGAGUAGUUUGGGAAUGCUGCUCUAAAUGGGAGGUAAAUUUCUUCUAAAGCUAAAUACCGGCCAGAGACCGAUAGCGCACAAGUAGAGUGAUCGAAAGAUGAAAAGCACUUUGAAAAGAGGGUUAAAUAGCACGUGAAAUUGUUGAAAGGGAAGCGUUUAUGACCAGACUUUUUCCUGGCGGAUCAUCCGGUGUUCU